rnacentral:lncRNA from 1 species
ACAAGGCUUGACUAGAUGGAGUGACCCACUUGGCAUUUUAAUAAACCUUGAGUGAGUCACCAAGGUUUAAAUACUUAGGAGACUUUUCUUAAGCUUUUGAUUCCCAGCGUCUCUGGACAGCAGAGGAUCUGUGUCCCCACGAUGCUGGCAUGCUCCCCAUCGGAGCCCCCAUUAUGUCUUCCCAUCAUUUUCCCAACACCGAAAUCAGUGUACAAAUCUUGUACACUGGCAGUCAUGAACCUGGAGCAAAAGAGGAAACGUAGACCAUAGGUAGAUCACCAUUUUUCUUACUGUAAAAUUAAGAGGAAAAUGAACUUGUGGAUCUAAAAAGCAGAGCUAAGCAUUUAAUGAACUAAUAUGAGAGCCCUUUCUUCCUGUGGAGGAGAAGAUCAUCCAAACAAAGAACGUCUGCAUAGAAAAACUAUGUCCUAAAGCACUACAAUCAAGCCAGCCGUGAGUGGUGCACAGGAGGGAUGGGAUCUGAGGACUUAAUGGACUGAAGAAAUGGCUGUUGUUUGUUUUUGAAUGAGAAUAAAAUAAGCGCACUGCUGUGAAAUGCGGCUGU